rnacentral:rRNA from 1 species
GUAAGGAAUAUUGGACAAUGGGGGCAACCCUGAUCCAGCCAUGCCGCGUGCAGGAAGAAGGACCUAUGGUCUGUAAACUGCUUUUAUACAAGAGAAAACCUCACUACGUGUAGUGAGCUGAUAGUAUUGUAAGAAUAAGCAUCGGCUAACUUCGUGCCAGCAGCCGCGGUAAGACGAAGGAUGCAAGCGUUAUCCGGAUUCAUUGGGUUUAAAGGGUGCGUAGGCGGACUGAUAAGUCAGUGGUGAAAUCUCAUAGCUUAACUAUGGAACUGCCAUUGAUACUGUUAGUCUAGAGUACAGUUGCCGUUGGCGGAAUAUGACAUGUAGUGGUGAAAUACUUAGAUAUGUCAUAGAACACCGAUUGCGAAGGCAGCUAACGAAGCUGUAACUGACGCUGAGGCACGAAAGUGCGGGGAUCAAACAGGAUUAGAUACCCUUGUAGUCC